GAAAUAAUAAAAAGGCAGUUGGCUCGAUAGUCCCCACUCCUCAGAGUUUUCAGAUCAAAAGUGAUCGGAUGAUUUAGAUCAGAGGAAGCUUGAGCCAAGCAGCCACCAACAGUGGAGAGAAAGAAUGAGAGAGGCGGAGAGCAAGGGUUGAGAGAAAAAAGCAGAGCAAGAAUAAGAAAGAGAAACGUUAUCCAAUUUCACGUUGGAAGUUUUUCCCUUUCAUUUCAUGAAAAAAUUUCCGAUUACUUUUCUUAAGAAAAGUAGUAGAAAACCCGAAUCUCCGAAUGAAGAGCAAGGUUGUUUGGCCGCGACCAAAUCCGAAAACUCAAGCUCCGCUAACGAGGCCCCACCGCAACUCAAAGUCAAAGAAAUCAACGGUCAUGAUCAAGGACUACCCCAGUCGCCAAGGUUAACCAUAAGGCUAAUUAUGGGUCCAAAUCCAAUGACUUGCUUAUAGUUGCAGAGAAAGGCCAGGUUUUUUAUUUUUAAUACUUGUGGGUUUGUUUAUAUAUUGAUUUGCUUGGUUUGAGGAUUUAAUUUUAGUGCUUUGUUGGACAAAAUUUACUUUGAUUUACUGAGAGUUAUGGAGAAAAUUGGAGAUACAGAAUUGGGACUACUUUUAUUCUUACUUUAGCAGCUUUUAUACUUA